AGGAUGUUGGGGAUGGUGUAUAUUAUUUUAGUCAAUUUAGACAUAAAAUUCAGACGAAACUGUAGUCGUUUUCGACGGAUUUCGAUUUUAAAAACGGAACCUUCGAUCUCUCUGUACAGUGGUUUACCCAGGAGUGUUCAAUGAAGAAAAGAGGAUAUGUUUGAAAAACUUGAAUAAAAACAAAAAUGUUGCAAAAUGUAUAACUAUAUAUUGUAACAAUGGUUUGUUAAUUAUUUUGUUGUGGUGGAAUAAGUAGUGCAAACUAGUUGAAUUAUCUGGUAUUUUCCUGGAUCACUUUUAUCUCUAUCACAAUAGUUGUUGUUCAGUAUUUUAUAUUUUUUAAAA